rnacentral:rRNA from 1 species
UACGUAGGUGACUAGCGUUGUCCGGAUUUACUGGGCGUAAAGAGCGCGCAGGCGGUCGUUCAAGUCGAGUGUGAAAGCCCCCGGCUCAACUGGGGAGGGUCAUUCGAUACUGAUCGACUUGAAGGCAGGAGAGGGAAGUGGAAUUCCCGGUGUAGUGGUGAAAUGCGUAGAUAUCGGGAGGAACACCAGUGGCGAAGGCGACUUCCUGGCCUGUUCUUGACGCUGAGGCGCGAAAGCUAGGGGAGCAAACGGG